rnacentral:tRNA from 1 species
GGAGGCGUGCCCGAGCGGCCGAAGGGAACGGUCUUGAAAACCGUCGUGGCAGCGAUGUCACCGUGGGUUCGAAUCCCACCGCCUCCG